rnacentral:rRNA from 1 species
UUGCUUUUUUGCUGACGAGUGGCGGACGGGUGAGUAAUGCUUGGGAAUCUGGCUUAUGGAGGGGGAUAACUGUGGGAAACUGCAGCUAAUACCGCGUAUUCUCUGAGGAGGAAAGGGUGGGACCUUAGGGCCACCUGCCAUAAGAUGAGCCCAAGUGGGAUUAGGUAGUUGGUGGGGUAAAGGCCUACCAAGCCUGCGAUCUCUAGCUGGUCUGAGAGGAUGACCAGCCACACUGGAACUGAGACACGGUCCAGACUCCUACGGGAGGCAGCAGUGGGGAAUAUUGCGCAAUGGGGGGAACCCUGACGCAGCCAUGCCGCGUGAAUGAAGAAGGCCUUCGGGUUGUAAAGUUCUUUCGGUAAUGAGGAAGGGAUGUUGUUAAAUAGAUAGCAUCAUUGACGUUAAUUACAGAAGAAGCACCGGCUAACUCCGUGCCAGCAGCCGCGGUAAUACGGAGGGUGCGAGCGUUAAUCGGAAUAACUGGGCGUAAAGGGCACGCAGGCGGACUUUUAAGUGAGAUGUGAAAUCCCCGAGCUUAACUUGGGAACUGCAUUUCAGACUGGGAGUCUAGAGUACUUUAGGGAGGGGUAGAAUUCCACGUGUAGCGGUGAAAUGCGUAGAGAUGUGGA